UUUUAGUUUGUAGUACUUCCUGUUCACAGUCAGUUGCUCACUCACCGGUCCUCAUUAGCCACACCUGUCCGUAAUGAGUAAUCACUCACCAGUAUAUAACCUCCACCUCUCACAGAUUCAAGCUGCCAGAUUGUUACGUUACGAACUUCUUUCCAGCGUUUCGUGUAUAGUCUCUAGUGUAUCGAUCCUGAUUGCCUUGACCGCCGUAUCCUGCCUGAACCUUGUCUGUACCGUAGCCAGAGAAAGAACCUUGACUGAACAACUGACCGUGAGUUUUGCUUAGCCCUUGCCUGUACCUUCACCGAGAUCUCCUGUGUACCGAACCUUGACUGCUUACUGGAUUUGAGAUUGCCUGCUCCCUGCUGUACCUCAUUACCAAGCCUUGUGUAUGAUCUGGACCGUCUGACUCUGCUUUCCACAAUAAAAUCUGUGUUAAUCAUCACCUUGCCUCUAUACUGUGCAUGUUGGUCGGACGCCUGCCCAAACCUGACAGAGAACAGCUUCCAUCUGAAUCUCGUAGUUUGUUCAGACACAAAUGCCCCUUGACUUCUAUGAGUGAGAAGGGACUAGACAACAGCUUGUUGUUUCAGACUUUAUUAGUGCUGGGUAGCGAUCUACAUAAUCGUGCAACUUCAUUGUGUUAACUGCAUGAGUUUUCUAUGAUUAACUGCAGUAAUGCAAGAAGCAUUCAGUAACAUUCAAAAGCAGUACAUCACGCUUUUUUAUUUUAAAACUACUUCUUUCCGGUGAGAGCAGCUGUUGGUAGGGCUGGACAAUACUGCAAACUUUGGAGUCGAUCCGAUACCAAGUAAAUGCUGGACCAGGAUCUCCGAUAUCGAUACCAAUAAUGAUACUUUUUGACAAUGAAUGCAGUAUCAUAUAUAAAAGGGGUAAAAGACAGAACAUAUUUUCAUAGCUGUUUGACAUUUUUUCUAGUCUUUAUACUUUUUGAGACUUUUCAUGUAGCAAGUGAUCUUGUGAUGAGGAAACAAAUCUGUUGGGGGCUCACAGAGAGUGAAAGUGUGAAAAAGCUGGAUGGGGAGAACAUGGUGAAGGUAUGUCGAUCACAUAAACCAAAAAAAAGUAAAAUGUUGGCCUGAAAUUAAGCACAGACCCAGAAUCUGACUCUGUCUGCUCCUUCUCUAUAAACAUGUCUGUGUUUCUUCCUGUGCUUCUCCUUCUCUGACUACAGGAACUGUCUGGGAUUGACAAGCUUUUAUCCAGUGGAGCCAUCAAUGGUAACAAGAAUAUCUCCACCUUUCUGGACAUGAUGGAGAUUGCUCUGAGAGCUGGAGCUGCUGGUACGUUUGGGGCCUGACUUACCUUGAGGACCUGUAACUUUAUCAUCUAAGCGAGUCCAGGCAAACCUCCCGCUGGAGACUGCUGCUGGAGAACCCUUCAAUUAACCUGGUAAUGCUCGUGGCUGUAUAUAACCAGUCAUGGGGAUGUAAUUACAUUAAGUGUGAUGUGAUGAAUGUAAUCGAAUGUUCUCCUGUUAUGACUAUAAAAGGCUUCACAACAGUGGCCUUGCUGAGCUACGCAAACCUAGACUUUGCACACAAAAUUUGUUUGGCCCUGCCUAUGUCAUAUUAACAUUAAGCAGGAAAAUGAUUAGGGUUGCAUAAUAUCUAAAUGCUUAAAAUUUCCAUCAGUGCUUUUUUACCACAUAAUCUUGUUUCCGUUCAGAUAAACAUUUUCUUCAUUUUUAUCACUAUGUGGAAGUUGACACAGAAGUUCUCAGGAUCAAACCAAGAUCUUGAUAAUUUGCAACAAAUAAAGUGAGUCUACAUUAGGCUGCAGCAACUACGAAUGAGUUCAUGAUGUACUGUAGUUUUUCUUUCUUUUUUCAGAUUGAAUUGUGGUUUGUUGCCCCCUCCAGGUGGUGGAAAGCACCACUGCUAUGACUUACCUGUUCACCAUCUUUGCGAGCCUUCAGGGGGUUCUGGUUUUUGUCAUCCACUGUCUGUUUGAUAAGCAGGUCCGUCACUCUCCUCUCAGAAAUUAC